AUCCAACUGAUGAGCCCCGAAUAGGACGAAACGCACGUCAUUGAU
rnacentral:hammerhead_ribozyme from 1 species